AGAAUAUUGGUCAAUGGCCUCACGGCUGAACCAGCAACUUGGAGGAAUGUAUAGCGAAAGCUAGUUGUGUCAGGUAUAAUAUGCUUGGCAGAAUAUCGGUUUACUCGAAUAAAAUUCUGGGUGGAAAGCUGAUUAUGACACUUUUUGCUCACCUGUCUUGACCAAAUUAUGUGCCAGCAGUCGCGGUAAUACAUAAAAGACUAGUGUUAUUCAUCUUUAAUAGGUUUAAAGGGUACCUAGACGGUAUAUCAAGCCUUUUUUCAUAGCUGAAUGAAGGGACUAAUAUGCUAGAGUUACUUGUGAGGGGGCUAUGAAGUACUAGUGAGUGUAGAGAUGAAAUUCUUUGAUACCUUCAGUUCGUGAGAGCUGGACACGGCACGGAUUAAGGCGUAAGCAUCUCCUUAUGUGAUAACUGACGUUGAG
rnacentral:rRNA from 1 species